UACGUAGGGUGCGAGCGUUAAUCGGAAUUACUGGGCGUAAAGCGUGCGCAGGCGGUUUUGUAAGACAGAUGUGAAGUCCCCGGGCUCAACCUGGGAACUGCAUUUGUGACUGCAAGGCUAGAGUACGGCAGAGGGGGGUAGAGUUCCACGUGUAGCGGUGAAAUGCGUAGAUAUGUGGAGGAACAUCAGUGGCGAAGGCGGCUUCCUGGCUUAAAACUGACACUGUGGCGCGAAAGCGUGGGUAGCAAACAGG
rnacentral:rRNA from 1 species